rnacentral:rRNA from 1 species
GACGAACGCUGGCGGCGUGCUUAACACAUGCAAGUCGAACGGAGUGGCGAACGGGUGAGUAACACGUGGGUGACCUGCCCUGCACUUCGGGAUAAGCCUGGGAAACUGGGUCUAAUACCGGAUAGUGUGGGAUGGGCCCGCGGCCUAUCAGCUUGUUGGUGGGGUAAUGGCCUACCGAGGCGGCGACGGGUAGCCGGCCUGAGAGGGUGGACGGCCACAUUGGGACCGAGCGACUGCGCAGACUCCGAGUGGGGGCAGCAGGGGGGAAUGUUGCAGAAUGGGCGGAAGCCUGAUGCAGCGACGCGGCGUGGGGGAUGACGGCCUUCGGGUUGGAAACUCCUUUCACCAUCGACGCGGUAGAUGGAGAAGAAGCACCGGCUAACUACGUGCCAGCAGCCGCGGUAAUAC